CCGGUGGGCCGGACGGCCGCCGCUGUGAUGAGCAGGGGAGGAAAGUCCGGGCUUCAGAGGGCAGGGCGCCCGGUAACGCCGGGGCGCGUUGGUCGCAAGCCCAACGUGACGGAAAGCGCCACAGAAAAGGAAAGGCCCGCAAGGGUUGAGCUGAAACGGCGGUGUAAGAGACCACCGGCGGCGCGGUGACGCGCCGGCCUGGCAAGCCCCGCCCGAAGCAACACCGAGUAGGGGGAGAGAUCGGGGUCGCCCGCCCCGCCGCCCGCAAGGGGUCAUCCCCGGGUCGGUGGCUUGAGGCCGUCGGCAACGGCGGUUGUAGAGAGAUGGCCGUCACCCCGCAAGGGGCACAGAACCCGGCUUACAGACCCACCGGCACA
rnacentral:RNase_P_RNA from 1 species